GAUGAACGCUAGCGGCAGGCUUAAUACAUGCAAGUCGAGGGGCAGCAGGGGUGUAGCAAUACACUCGCUGACGACCGGCAAACGGGUGCGGAACACGUACGCAAUCUACCCAAAACUGAUGAAUAGCCCUCCGAAAGGAGGAUUAAUACAUCGUAACAUCUUAGAGUGGCAUCACUUUUAGAUUAUAGCUCCGGCGGUUUUGGAUGAGCGUGCGGCCGAUUAGGUAGUUGGAAGGGUAAUGGCCUACCAAGACUACGAUCAGUAACGGGUGUGAGAGCACGACCAGUCACACGGGCACUGAGACACGGGCCCGACUCCUACGGGAGGCAGCAGUAAGGAAUAUUGGUCAAUGGACGCAAGUCUGAACCAGCCAUGCCGCGUGAAGGAUGAAGGUCCUCUGGAUUGUAAACUUCUUUUACAGGGGAAGAAACCCGAAAAUUCUUUUUCGGUUGACGGUACCCUGGGAAUAAGCACCGGCUAACUCCGUGCCAGCCGCCGCCGUAAUAC
rnacentral:rRNA from 1 species